rnacentral:rRNA from 1 species
UACAGAGACUGCAAGCGUUAUUCGGAUUCACUGGGCGUAAAGGGUGCGCAGGCGGCCAAGUGUGUGAGGCGUGAAAGCCCGGGGCUUAACCCCGGAAUUGCACCUCAAACUACAUGGCUAGAGCAUUGGAGAGGGUAGCAGAAUUCACGGUGUAGCAGUGAAAUGCGUAGAUAUCGUGAGGAAUACCAGAGGCGAAGGCGGCUACCUGGACAAUUGCUGACGCUCAGGCACGAAAGCGUGGGGAGCAAACAGG